rnacentral:piRNA from 1 species
UGUGAUGACGUUGGUGACCGUACGAA